rnacentral:rRNA from 1 species
UACAGAGACCUCGAGCGUUAUCCGGAAUCAUUGGGCGUAAAGCGUACCGAUGGGUGGUCACGCAAGUCAGAGGUGAAAUCUCCGAGCUCAACUCGGAAUCUGUCCUUUGAAACUGCUCGACUUGAGGGGCAAAGAGGAAGCUGGAACGAACGGUGUAGUAGUGAAAUGCGUUGAUAUCGUUCGGAACACCAAUAGCGAAGGCGGGCUUCUGGGUGCCACCUGUCACUGCUAGGACGAAAGCGUGGGGAGCGAAUGGG